rnacentral:rRNA from 1 species
GCUGACGAGCGGCGGACGGGUGAGUAAUGCUUGGGAACAUGCCUUGAGGUGGGGGACAACAGUUGGAAACGACUGCUAAUACCGCAUAAUGUCUACGGACCAAAGGGGGCUUCGGCUCUCGCCUUUAGAUUGGCCCAAGUGGGAUUAGCUAGUUGGUGAGGUAAUGGCUCACCAAGGCAACGAUCCCUAGCUGGUUUGAGAGGAUGAUCAGCCACACUGGAACUGAGACACGGUCCAGACUCCUACGGGAGGCAGCAGUGGGGAAUAUUGCACAAUGGGCGAAAGCCUGAUGCAGCCAUGCCGCGUGUGUGAAGAAGGCCUU